rnacentral:rRNA from 1 species
AAAAAGGACUCUCGGCAACGGAUAUCUCGGUUCUUGCAUCGAUGAAGAACGUAGCGAAAUGCGAUACUUGGUGUGAAUUGCAGAAUCCCGUGAACCAUCGAGUCUUUGAACGCAAGUUGCGCCCGAAGCCAUUCGGUUGAGGGCACGCCUGCCUGGGUGUCGUG